GACGAACGCUGGCGGCGUGCUUAACACAUGCAAGUCGAACGGAAAGGCCCUGCUUUUGUGGGGUGCUCGAGUGGCGAACGGGUGAGUAACACGUGAGUAACCUGCCCUUGACUUUGGGAUAACUUCAGGAAACUGGGGCUAAUACCGGAUAGGAGCUCCUGCUGCAUGGUGGGGGUUGGAAAGUUUCGGCGGUUGGGGAUGGACUCGCGGCUUAUCAGCUUGUUGGUGGGGUAGUGGCUUACCAAGGCUUUGACGGGUAGCCGGCCUGAGAGGGUGACCGGCCACAUUGGUACUGAGAGACGGCCCAGACUCCUACGGGAGGCAGCAGGGGGGAAUAUUGCACAAUGGGCGGAAGCCUGAUGCAGCAACGCCGCGUGCGGGAUGACGGCCUUCGGGUUGUAAACCGCUUUCGCCUGUGACGAAGCGUGAGUGACGGUAAUGGGUAAAGAAGCACCGGCUAACUACGUG
rnacentral:rRNA from 1 species